rnacentral:tRNA from 2 species
GGUGAGAUGGCCGAGUGGUUUAAGGCGCACCCCUGCUAAGGGUGUAUGUAGUUUCUGCAUCGAGGGUUCGAAUCUCUCUCUCACCG